CAGGCUUGUCUUUGGUUUCUCAGCCUGCCUGCAACCUUAUGCUCGUAAUCUGAGACCCACCUACCUGCUUUAGUCCCUUUGAUUUCGUCUGGCUGCCUUCCAGUAAGUCUGCAGUCUGUCGUGGCUGCCUCUUCCCAGAAGGCCACUGCAGCUCACAGCUUGUUACCGUGUCAACUCACUGACCACCCACGACUCUGUCUGCAUGUCCUGGGCUGGCCCCCGAGGCUCAUGAGUAAUCCUUCAUCCACUGUCUAACAGGCUGCAGCGGGCUGAUAGCGGGCCUUCACUCAGAGAGGACAGAGCUGUGAUGUUUGUAUCAGCAGACAGACGACUGGAUGAACUUCCAACUGUGUCUCUGAAGCCUAGCCAACCCUCCUCCUCCUCCACCUCCUCCUCCUCACUACUCUGCCCUCUCACCUCCACAUCCCUUCCUCUGUCAGCCCUUCUCUUUGUCUCAUUUUGUCUUCUUGUCUCACUGGUUCCUCUCUGCUCUUAUAUAAACAGUUGUCACUCCACAGCUCUCCUUUAUUCCUCUA